ACCUUAGCACAGUCGCCGCGCAAGCGCACGCGCCCUCUGGCUCGCGCGCCCGCCACAGAGGACGAGCGGGAGGCUUCCCGCUGUCCGCGUGCCGCGGGACGCGCAGGAAAUAGAAGCUCGCAGUUGCUCCGAGGGGACACGGACAAACGGCGCAACACGGCAGAGCAGUUUGAGAUCUAACAGGCUCUCUGCGCUGUAACAGAAGUGAAAAGGCUUGUAAUGGAAUUUCCUCCCAAUGGACAAAGCACGGGCGUCUCAUUUGUUCAAUAUGUGAAUAUGGAAAUAUUGGUUGUAAAAUAUAUAUCUUAAAAGUAAAACCACUGGUUACAGACAAGUAACUAACCAGGGUGUUUCAGUCGUUUAGUUUAUCCAUUUCCAUUUAAUUUAUUUAUAUUGCGCCAAAUCACUUCAUAAGUCAUUUCAAGGCAAAAUAACUUUACAGAACACGAUAAUAUAAUUAUAUAAGGUUACACAGAAACCAGGCUGACGGUGGGCGGACAUCUGCCUCGACCAGUUGGAGUGAGGGGGAGAGAAAACGGACAAAGAGCAACAACACCAGGCACAAAAGACGAGGUUGAAGAGACGAGCACCUGCGUGGAGGCACGCGGCUCCGAGGCAGCGACGCGCCACUGCACCGACGCAUCUGCCACUCACCGUCAGCGGAAAGCCGUCAGUGAGAUCCAGCUGGUAGCCCCGCCCCCCGCUGCGCUACCGCCGCACCGGAGAAGUUACAAUGUAGGGCUAAAGGGGCUGUAUUUUGGGAAACUAAAACCCUUGUUGCCAAGAGCAACCACCAGGUGUGUUCAGCAAAUCAGAAGCUGCAGGUGCAGGAACGGUUCGAAAUCAAGCAGUGCUGCGGCUCCGGAGCACCGGGGUCGACCACGUCUGCCCCAUAAGUUCAACUCAAAGGUCACUUUAUCCUAACCAUCACUGAAUUCCCAGCGCACCGGGGCUCGUGUUGACAGCUUCAUCCACAUUUCAUGCAUUUCCCUCCUACCGCCUGACCGCUCCUGAGCAAAAUGAACCCUCCUCGCCUCAGAAACACGAGGGUUACCAAGCAACCAGACAGAGGCCUCCCUGUAGCAGUGAGUGGAUGGACCUCGGGACCUUGAGCUAGUACUAGGCUAGGGCAUAAAUAGACACGCGAGAUAAAAGUUGGUAUGAGGUCAUAAUAUUAAAAAACUACAGUUGAACAUUUAAUACUUGCCCAAAACCAUUAAUGGCUCUGUCUGAAACUGAAAACAAGCUGUCAAACAGCUCUUUCCUCUGAGACGACGUCUGGGUCAGGAUGUAGCCUAGAACAGCAGCAGGCGGCAGAGACUCUUGUCCCGUCGCCUUGCCCCCCAUCUGUGAGCGUCCAGCUGGAGUAAGUGCCUCCGCGAGUGCCAAGAGGAGAGACAACACUCACUAAAAAUAUUUCUAGUGUGAAAUAUUCAUCACAUCAUGACAGAAUAUUCUUGUGACUGUGGCAUUUUACCUCCUCGGUAUAUAAGCUUUCAAGUGCGCCACAACCUCCUCUCUGAAACCCAGCUACUGUAGCAAAGAGGUGUCAAGAGGCAAUCUAAAGGAACAGGAGGCAGAAAACAGGGUCAGCCAGGAAGCUGCAAGGGGUUCAGCUCGGAGGAUCUAAAGUGACUGCAAUUAGACUGGAAGCAUAAUAAUAUGUUUACAUGAACUUUAGCUCACAAGCUCCAACAACGCCCAUAUUCUCCUCAUUUAAUCCAUUUGCAGCUGUAGUUUGGGAAGAGAACACAAACCGCACGAAAUUCAGAGUAGCGGCGGUGCGAUCGGCCCCGUGCUGAGGAAACGGCCUCUGUGCCAAACUUCAAAGGGGUUUUCUACAAAAUAUGCACAAAAAUGACUCGCUAAUGGAAAAACCUGUCACUCAUACUGACUAAUGCAAAGAGAAUUAGCGCCAAAAAGUACGUGUUCCUUCAAUUAAGGGAGCGUUCCGCUGUCCUCCAGCUCAUUAUUUUGAAGCCCACAACAUUCGUUCUCGUUGCUCCCGUCAACCCGACAGAUGCCACCCAACUGUACAUGGAAAAUAUAUAUGUGAUAAAGAGACUGUUUUAUGGUGGACAUUAAAACAGAGGCAUAAAUCUGCAGCUCCAAGUAUCAAUAAUGACGCUUCCUUUAAACUGGAUGUGUAACUAAGCAACUGUACAAAAACCAAGAUCCAUGAAACUGAUCCAGUCAAUUGAUUUUAGCUGUUCUAAAAUAUUUUUAGACCUGUUAAUUAAAAAAAAAAAAAGUAAACUAGCUAAAC